rnacentral:rRNA from 1 species
GUCUUUUUGAAAAUAAUUUAAAGUCAAAUCUGCCCACUGAUAAAAUAUUAAAGGGCUGCAGUAUAUUGACUGUACAAAGGUAGCAUAAUAAUUAGUCUUUUAAUUGAAGACUUGUAUGAAGGAUUUAAUGAAAUAUAGACUGUCUCUUUUUUAUAAUUAGAAUUUAAUUUUUUAGUAAAAAAGCUAAAAUUAAUUUAAAAGACGAGAAGACCCUAUAGAGUUUUAUAAUUAAAUUUAAUUAUAUAUUUAUGUUUAAUUUUGAAAUUAAUUAAUUUAAUUAUUUUAUUGGGGUGAUAGAAAAAUUAAAAUAACUUUUUUUUUAAAUUUAAACAUUAAUUAAUGGUUAUAUGAUCCAUAAAUUAUGAUUAUAAGAAAAAAUUACCUUAGGGAUAACAGCGUAAUUUUUUUUUUUAGUUCUUAUAAGAAAAAAAGUUUGCGACCUCGAUGUUGGAUUAAGAUAAAAUUUAAAUGCAGAAGUUUAAAAUUUUUGAUCUGUUCGAUCAUUAAAAUCUUACA